rnacentral:misc_RNA from 1 species
GAAAUAUUCUCCUCUUCGACAACCUACUGCCCAGCAAGUGCUGAUGGACAAAAUAUCUGCAGGCCCUAUUACUGUGUUCAUAAUAGGAGCUCAUACAAAUUUUGCCAUUUUCCUUAUGAACAAUCCACACCUAAAGAAGAAUGUUAAGCAUAUAUAUAUAAUGGGAGGUGGUGUGAGGUCUCGAAACCCAACUGGUUGUUGCGCAAAAAAUUCCAGUUCAUCUUGCCAGCCAAGACAGUGCGGUGACCGCGGAAAUCUGUUCACAGACUACACUAGCAAUCCUUAUGCUGAGUUUAA